AUCAACGCAGGGCACUCGCGACGCCGUUAUCAGCCGUCUGAUCGAAACCCUUUCCUCCCCUUCCAUGUUCCAGCGGACGAAGCUGCUUUUGUCGCGCUAAGCAUCGAGGAGGAGGCGUAUGCCAUUACCAAUGGCUCCCCUGCCACCAUGGACGACGGCAUCGACAUUCUCCAGGUCUCUACUCUAAGCAGAUCAGUAAGCGGAUGCUUGAGGCGGUGUCCACAAGUUGCUGGUCGAGGUGGGGCGUCCGUUCUUUGUAUUUGAGACUUUUGUAUUUUGUUUUGUAAUUGUACCCUGAACCCAUUUUCCCGUUUAUAAUAAAUUUGAACAACACCAGUUUGUAAUUGGAUUCCGUUUUAUAGUUUUUUUUACUU